CGGGGCUGGGCGCUGGGUCCCCGGCGCGCGUCGAGGCUGCACCUGGAGCGCGCCGGGCCGCGCCGCCGGCGCGUCCUCUUCGUCCUCGUCCUCGUCCUCCGCGUCCGCGUCCCCUGGGGCGCCGGCCUCGCCGUCCUCGUCGCCCCCAGCGCUCGCGCCCUCGCCGUCCUCGUCCUCGUCCUCCUCCCAGGUCGAGUCGCAGUCCGGGUCGUCCAUGCUCGGGCGGCGGCGGGACCCGCGCUCCGGCGGAAGCGAAAGUGAGCGAAGGAGGAAGCGUGGGGGAGGGCCGGGGGCGGGGCCGGGGCGGGAUCGGGGCGGGGCCGGGGGCGGGGCCGCCGGCGCCGUCCGCCCCGAGAAGGCCCCCCACGCUCCGAGCACAGCCCCUCCCGGAGAACGUCACUCCGGAGGGCGCCCGCCCCCUUCCUCGCUGGGAUUGCCCCCAGGGUGUCCCCCCAGGACCCCCCCUACACGAUAUCCCUUCCCUUUGGGAGAAGACACCUCCCCCAGGAUGCCCUCUGGAGUAUACCGGCUCUACAGGUAUGUCCCUGGGGGAUGCUCGUCCCAGAGAAUCACCCCAGAAUGCCCCUGAGGACAACCUCCCCCCAGAGGAAGACGCCUACCUGCUGGAAACCCCCUCCUCCAGAAUAUCCCUCUUCCCAGAGGAUGUUCUCCUGGAGGAAGUCAACCCACCCCCUGGAGGAUGCCCACAGGAGGAUGUCCGUCCACAGGGCUGACCCCAGGAGCAUAACCCCUGGGAGCUGUCCUCCCCAGAAGGGAGGCCUCCCCCCCAGGAUGCUCCCACGCGGGAUGCCCUCCAGGUGUAGGCUGGGGCUGUGGUCUCACGAGAGGCUCCUUUGGAGAGCAGUCUGCUUCCGCGGUCCCCCAGCCUGUGGGCAGAAGUCAUUCUCGGGUGGUGGGACACGGAUCCUCGUGUCCCUUCACAGACGGUUCACAACUGGGCAGUUUGCUUCCAUAAGGCCAGCAGGAGGGUGUCUUUCAGUGUGCCGGGAGUCGUCUGCACCGUCACCGUGGGCCUGGCCUCUGCCCCUUUGCCACAUCCUAUCAGGGGUAAGUGACCUCCCACAGAUUCCCUUAAUCUGUGCCCUCACAUCUGCUGGUGGCCGCGGGAGUUGCAGCAAAGUUGGAGACCCGCCCCUCAACAUGCAACUUGGGAGUGGCCCGCCCAGGUAGUGUUUGGACUCUGUGACCACCGUGCACCUUCAGUGUCUCACAGCAUUUUCGCUAAAACCAAAGUCUGGCCUUCUGACGGAUCUAGCCAGGAGGGUAACUCCCGGGGUCGACGGGGUAGAGGGUGAAGGCCAAACCCAGCCCCCUGGGGUCGCUGACCUCUCCCAGCCCCGCCAGCGGCCCCUGGGCCUCAGGGCUGCCUGUGACAGCUGAGAGGGAGCACAACCUUCCCACCUUGGCUGUGGGCACAGCUGAGGGCCCUUCUUGAUGCGGGCCGUCCUCAUCCAUUCUCCGGGUACAGUCUCACCUGGCUGGAGCCUGUGUACACACGACCUCACUCUCUAAGAGGACGGAGGUGCCCCCCCCCCCCGGAACGGACAUCUGGGCAUUUCUGUAAAAGGUGUGCCACCGGUGGGCGGGCUAGGUUUCCUGGGCAGCGGGCAGCCGCCGCGCCUCUGGCGGGGGCCGCGGGGGCGGAUUGCCUCCCCCACCCCCUGGGCCUCACCUCCCGCUUGCCUGACUUGCAGGUGGCCCCGCGAGGCCCCGGCCAGGACAUCGGGCAGAUGACACCGGGAGGCCCUGCCGCAGGUGUCCGCGUGUCGGGGGCGGAAUGCAGGGGUUUGGCUGCUCUGAGGGGCACUGCGGUGGGGAGGCUGUGCCUUUCCACGGGCCGAGCGGCAAGCCUCCCCGCCGCUGCCUCCCACCAGGGCCGGGACGACGGACCCUCCCAGACGCUGCCCGAUUUCCGCUCGACAAGGAAGAGUCACCCCGAACCGCACCUCCGGCUGCUUUUGUGCAGUUUGCCUGGGGCUCCGCAGGGCGCGUUAACCCGGGAGCCCAGAUUUCUGCUGCAGAAGAAGUCUUGUGCUGUUUCCUCCCCUCUGCAGCCUGGGGACGCCCGCUGUGGGCUCAGGGCUCUGGACAGCUGGCCGCCCAGGCUGGGGCGGGGCUGAGCGGGGGGGGCAGGACUGGG
rnacentral:lncRNA from 1 species